AGUUAAUAUUGCUGUUCUUGUUUGAAGAGGAAGAAACAGUUAAAACUCAAGUUUAUUCCUCUUGAGUUAGAGAGGCCAAUGAGAAGAUUCACCACUAGUGGCCACAGGCACAGAGGUGCACAGUUUCUUCUCAAGCUGUGUGCAGGUGGAGGAGAGGGAAUACCAUAGUAACACAGAGUCACUGAGCCACGAUUCGGUACUGAAAUAUAUGAACGAGCCUCUAAAUAUGACCAGCGGCGGCCAGUCCCUUCCCAACUUCUGGCAGAAUACGUCAGUGAGAAGAUGGUGUGAUAAUGACGUGGGAAGAAAUGAGCAAAGAGAGUGUCCAAAUGGCCCAGAUUCCAACCCAAUUCAUGAAAGUGUUACAGCCCUCUGGAAGUAAGGGAUUUUUUUUUUUUUUUGAAUGUCUAGUCUUGGGUUUGAGACUUGUGAAUUCUACAUUUGUUAUUAAACGAGAUAAACCAA